rnacentral:rRNA from 1 species
CCUACGGGGCGCAGCAGUGGGGAAUAUUGCACAAUGGGGGAAACCCUGAUGCAGCGACGCCGCGUGAGUGAAGAAGUAUUUCGGUAUGUAAAGCUCUAUCAGCAGGGAAGAAAAUGACGGUACCUGAUUAAGAAGCCCCGGCUAACUACGUGCCAGCAGCCGCGGUAAUACGUAGGGGGCAAGCGUUAUCCGGAUUUACUGGGUGUAAAGGGAGCGUAGACGGCAGCACAAGUCUGGAGUGAAAUGCCGGGGCUUAACCCCGGAACUGCUUUGGAAACUGUGCAGCUAGAGUGCAGGAGAGGUAAGUGGAAUUCCUAGUGUAGCGGUGAAAUACGUAGAUAUUAGGAGGAACACCAGUGGCGAAGGCGGCUUACUGGACUGUAACUGACGUUGAGGCUCGAAAGCGUGGGGAGCAAACAGGAUUAGAUACCCGGGUAGUC